UCCCCCGGGUGGUGGUGACGAGGCCGGGCACGCAGGCGGAGGGGAGUGGCCUCUGCCCCCCACGGGAACUCGAGGAAGGGGCGAGCAGGGGGCCCGGCUCUGCGGAGGGAAGAGGACUUGAGACCAGGGGCCCGGCCUCUGCUCAGGUUUGGCUCACAGCCUGCGACUGGCGCUGCCCGAAGGGACUGCCCUUCGGAUGCUUUGAAAACUUAAGAAGCCAAAGCAAUUUUUUAAAUGUCCCGCUCAAGACUUUAAAAACUGGAGGCGGAGAGUCUGAGGGGUCCAUAACCUGACACUUUGGUGAGAGACGUUCUGGGAGGAGCCCCCUGUGAGACUGUCAGAAAGUCCACACGGAAAAGCCCUCGCUGUGGAUGCUGAAGGUUACUUUAGUUCUACCUUUCUUUCUGCCUAAUCUUCAGGUGGACUCGGGCAGUUUUUGCCCCAGGCACAAAGUAGAUAAAAGUACAAAAACUUCCUGUUUGCUGCCCAGACCUUCUCCAGCUAUUAAGAACUUGUUCCAGUGAUGGAGCCUCAAAGGAAUUUGUGAAUUCCUCUCCCACAAGUGCAUAGGGGCAGAGGUGCUGGGAGAAUGAGGAAUUCACAGAGGACUUGAGCAUGACAGUCAUAAUAGAUGAACCAGUCUUAAGGGAAAAGAGAAAAGACUGAGUGAGCCAACGUACUGUUUUUCCUCCAAAUAGGAAGGUUUUGGUAAAGAAUUACACGCCACUGAAGAGUAAAUUACAUUUUUGUAACUUUCCAAAGACACAGACCUUCUCUAAACUUUUUGAGGGGUGUAUGCUGCCAGGUGCUAGACAUACAAACUUCAUUUGUACAAUCACAGUUGAAAGCCAGAUCUGUACUUGGUGUGUGAACACAGCCCAGGAGAAGACAAGAUUAAUAAAGUUCAGGUUGAGGAGAAAAGGUAUUCUAGUCCGACUGAGCAGAAAGAAUGUCUCUCAUGUCCCAAGAAAAGCAUGGUCUGUGUGUGAACAGGCGUCUCUAUUUGGCUGGAUCAAAGGGCACUUGCCGGAAGAGUUUGUGAGUGAAAAUAGAAGCAGCCGUUCCCCCAACCUUACCCUAUGUGACACUCUAGCAACAGCCAGCCAGUUAGGAUUUGGGAUUCGAUCUCUGCUACAUGUUAAAGGUUGACGAACACGAGUGGAGAAUUCACAUAUCUGUGAGGCUUUUGUCCCUAACUGGUGUUUCCACCCCCGGCUCAUCUACAGCACUACCCAGCGAUGUAAGUUUCCUGUGCCCUCCAAACUUAAUUUCCUCAAA
rnacentral:lncRNA from 1 species